rnacentral:rRNA from 1 species
AUGACUGGUUCGGUCGACGCGUUCGCGGAGCUGGACCGCUCAAUCACCGGGAAGGUGCGGUUCACGGACGGAUCCGUGGUGGAGAUCCACGGGCGCGGGACCGUUGUCUUCGCCGACAAAGGGGGUGAUCACAGGGCGUUUACGGACGUCUACUUCAUCCCGGCGCUCAAGAGCAGCGUCGUGAGUGUCGGACAGCUCGACGAGGGCUGGUUCGACAUUGGCAUCCGUCGCGGUGUUCUCAUCGUGCGCGACCAGCAGAAGAGGCUGCUCAUCGAGGUAACCCGCUCGGCAAACCACCUGUACAAGCUCUUCUUUCGACCCGUGCAUCCUGUGUGCCUUGCCGUGGGCCAUGUCUCCAACGCGUGGUGUUGGCAUGCCCGGCUAGGACACCAACACUUCGACGGGCUGCGGAAGAUGGCGCGAGGCAACCUCGUUCGCGGGCUACCUCACAUCAAGCACGCCGACGAGCUAUGCGAUGAGUGUCUUGCCGGGAAGCAGCGGCGCCUGCCCUUCCCCGAAAAGUCACGCUAUCGGGCGCAGAAACCCCUGGAGCUGGUUCAUGGGGACCUCUGCGGCCCAAUCACCCCGGCAACGCCAGGAGGGCGUCGCUACAUCCUGCUGCUCGUCGAUGACUACAACAGGUUCAUGUGGGUGCUGCUCCUCACCUCCAAGGACGAGGCGGAGCGAGCCAUCGUCAAGCAGCAAGCGGAAGCAGAGGUCGAGUGCAGCCACAAGCUGCGCGUGCUGCGCACGGACCGUGGCGGCGAGUUCACGUCGGCCACGUUCUACAAGCACUGCGCCGAGAAAGGGGUGCAGCGUCAUCUCACAACCCCUUACUCACCGCAGCAGAACGGCGUCGUCGAGCGGAGGAACCAGACGGUGCUCGGGAUGGCACGUUGCAUGCUCAACGCAAAGCAGGUGCCGAGCACGUAUUGGGGGUAG